AAAGCACUUUCAGUUGUGAGGAAAAGUUAGUAGUUAAUACCUGCUAGCCGUGACGUUAACAACAGAAGAAGCACCGGCUAACUCCGUGCCAGCAGCCGCGGUAAUACGGAGGGGGCUAGCGUUGUUCGGAAUUACUGGGCGUAAAGCGCACGUAGGCGGUCUAUAAAGUUGGGGGUGAAAUCCCGGAGCUCAACUCCGGAACUGCCUCCAAAACUGCUAGACUCGAGUUCGGAAGAGGUAAGUAGAAUUCCCAGUGUAGAGGUGAAAUUCGUAGAUAUUGGGAAGAACACCAGUGGCGAAGGCGGCUACCUGGUCCGGAUCUGACGCUGAGGCGCGAAAGCGUGGGGAGCAAACAGGAUUAGAUACCCUGGUAGUCCACGCUGUAAACGAUGAUUACUCGCUGUUGGCGAUACACUGUCAGCGGCUAAGCGAAAGUGAUAAGUAAUCCACCUGGGGAGUACGUUCGCAAGAAUGAAACUCAAAGGAAUUGACGGGGGCCCGCACAAGCGGUGGAGCAUGUGGUUUAAUUCGA
rnacentral:rRNA from 9 species